UUAGGAAUAUUGGUCAAUGGGGGCAACCCUGAACCAGCCAAGUCGCGUGAAGGAUGAAGGUCUUAUGGAUUGUAAACUUCUUUUACACGGGAAUAAAGUGGGGGACGUGUCCCCCUUUGCAUGUACCGUGUGAAUAAGGAUCGGCUAACUCCGUGCCAGCAGCCGCGGUAAUACGGAGGAUCCGAGCGUUAUCCGGAUUUAUUGGGUUUAAAGGGUGCGCAGGCGGGAUGUUAAGUCGGCGGUGAAAUUUUGCAGCUCAACUGUAAAAGUGCCUUCGAUACUGGCCUACUUGGGUGUGGAUGAAGUAGGCGGAAUUUGUGGUGUAGCGGUGAAAUGCUUAGAUAUCACGAGGAACUCCGAUUGCGCAGGCAGCUUACUAAGCCACAACUGACGCUCAUGCACGAAGGCGUGGGGAUCAAACA
rnacentral:rRNA from 1 species